AAACCUUUAUGAUAGACACUGUUAUUACGCUUACAAACAUUUACUUAAAGAAAAAACUUAUUUUGAAAGACUUUUUGCAAAAAUAACUCAUUAAUAUGGAUACUCCUAGGUAUUCUGGAAACACUUUUCUUGUAAAUAUCAAGCAUGCCAAGGCAAGCCUUGAUUAUUUAUAUAGACAACUUAGAAAUUUUGAACUUGAGAUACAAGACCCAAUUGCUUUUAGACAACACCCUUACCAAAAAGCUUUGGUAAGAUCUAUAAGAGCUACUAGAAGCCUUAUAACUGAAUUUACAGAUUGAUAAGACUUUCUUAUGAACUUUUUCGAAAGAAAAUCAAACUUGAAACUUUACCACAAAUAUUUUACUUCUCAAAUGAAACAACACAAACAAGUUCUGAAAAACUUUGACUCUAUUCCAAACAAGGAGUUAGAUCCUUAUUAUACACAAACUUUGCUUUAUUAUACUGAGACAAAAGAAACUGUGAAAGAAAUUGAAGAUCUUCUUUCAAAAAUAAUAUGCUAAAAUGAUUUACGCAGAGAUGAUAGCUACUUUGCAGUUAGAAAA